rnacentral:lncRNA from 1 species
CCACGGCUGCAUGUGGUCGCUGAAGUCGCUACCUUGCGACGGGCGCGUAGGGGUACCCAAGGUCCCUUUUAUGCUUUUCAACGUCCUAAAUCCAUUUAUGACUUCCGUUUUUUGAAAUUCAAUCGUUUAAGUGUAGUUUUUUUUAAUUGGACCCCUUAUGUGCUUAGGUGCGAUUAUUAGCGGCGAUUCCGUCCUUCCUAUUUCCUAAGGCUCUUCGACGACGGAGUAUUUAUGAGUGGGCCCCUUCUAAAAUGCAUGUUUUAAUAGUAAAAAUGCAUACAUGAAGAGUAUGAUUUAAUAGUUAUGUUUUAUAAGUAAAUUAGAUUUACAUUGUAUUAUUAUCAUGCUUUACUAAGAAUAUUUUGGAAUACCAUACUUUAUCGAAACUUAUGUUCUUUGUAGUAUAUAUGAUGGAUGACUAUAUACUAUUUACGAAUAUGUCUUUACACUUCUUUGUAGUAUAUAUGAUGGAUGCCUAUAUGCUAUGAAGAUGAUUUUGAGAUAUAUGUAUCUAUGUUUGGAAAGAUUAUAUUCAAGGGAACUUUAACAAAAAGCUCUCGGUACUGUUCACUUUAACAAAAAACCACAUUUUUUACACUAAAAAUGCAAUACUAGUACUAUUCACUUUACCCUUUAUUUUAUCCUUAUCGUUAAAACUCAAAGUUUUCAAGCCUUUUUCAUUAGUUUUCCUUAUAUUCAAUGGUUUUGUGCGUAUCUAGUGGUCACAUAUAUGCCUUCAGGUGGGUGUUGUAGGAGCCUACGGGGGAUUGAUACUUGUAUGCCUUCGGGUAGGUGUUGUAGGAGCUUAUGGGCGAUUGAUAUUUGAAGUAUUUCUGAAGGA